GACGAACGCUGGCGGCGUGCUUAACACAUGCAAGUCGAACGAAGUGGGAACGGGUGAGUAAUACGUGGGUAACCUCCCUUCUUUUUGGGAUAAGCCUUGGAAACGGGGUCUAAACCGAAUAGAUGGGUUCGCGGCCGAUCCGCUUGUUGGUGGGGGGAUGGCCUGCCAAGGCGGUGACGGGUAGCCGGCCUGGGAGGGUGACCGGCCAAAUUGGGACUGGGAGACGGCCCAGACCCCUACGGGAGGCAGCAGGGGGGGAUUUUGCACAAUGGGCGAAAGGCUGAUGCAGCGACGCCGCGUGAAGGAAGAAGGUUUUCGGAUCGUAAAGCUCUGUUUUUUAGGAAGCGGUACUUAACCAGAAAGGGACGGCUAACUACGUGCCAGCCGCCGCGGUAAUAC
rnacentral:rRNA from 1 species